rnacentral:rRNA from 1 species
UACAGAGGUCUCAAGCGUUGUUCGGAUUCAUUGGGCGUAAAGGGUGUGUAGGUGGCGCGCUAAGUCGGGUGUGAAAUUUCGGAGCUUAACUCCGAAACUGCAUUCGAUACUGGCGUGCUUGAGGACUGGAGAGGAGACUGGAAUUUACGGUGUAGCAGUGAAAUGCGUAGAUAUCGUAAGGAAGACCAGUGGCGAAGGCGGGUCUCUGGACAGUUCCUGACACUGAGACACGAAGGCCCAGGGGAGCAAAACGGG